UAUGGCAGAUUAGUGCACUGGACUUAAACCCCAUAUAUAAAGAUACCUUUUAUUAGAA
rnacentral:tRNA from 1 species